UUAGUAACUGGAGGCCUGAUCCCACAAGAAUUGGCAGACAUUUUUGUCCCAAUCAUUGGAUCCUCUGGAAAUAAACAAAAAAACACAAGGAUUGUAACAGAAUCCAGGGUUAUAACAGGAAACGAGAUUUAUUCCCAGUUAAAAGAAAAAGAAAAGGAAAAACGAAUUAAAAAAACCACCAAGAAACAGACAUCAAAAGAGAAAAGACAGAAAGCAAUUGCACAGACAGAGGAAUUUGAUUUACCUUUACCAACAAUCAAACCACCAAAGAAGAGAAAGUCAAACAGCCGUGUAGUUAACAUUGAGG